rnacentral:tRNA from 1 species
GCCUGGCAGGCUCGGUCGGUGGAGCAUGAGACUCUUGAUCUCAGGGUUGUGGGUUUGAGCCCCACGUUGGGUG